UACGGGAGGCAGCAGUGGGGAAUCUUAGACAAUGGGCGCAAGCCUGAUCUAGCCAUGCCGCGUGAGUGACGAAGGCCCUAGGGUCGUAAAGCUCUUUCGCCUGUGAAGAUAAUGACGGUAGCAGGUAAAGAAACCCCGGCUAACUCCGUGCCAGCAGCCGCGGUAAUACGGAGGGGGUUAGCGUUGUUCGGAAUUACUGGGCGUAAAGCGCACGUAGGCGGAUCAGAAAGUUGGGGGUGAAAUCCCGGGGCUCAACCCCGGAACUGCCUCCAAAACUUNUNGUCUGGAGUUCGAGAGAGGUGAGUGGAAUUCCGAGUGUAGAGGUGAAAUUCGUAGAUAUUCGGAGGAACACCAGUGGCGAAGGCGGCUCACUGGCUCGAUACUGACGCUGAGGUGCGAAAGUGUGGGGAGCAAACAGGAUUAGAUACCCUGGUAGUCCACACCGUAAACGAUGAAUGCCAGUCGUCGGCGCGCAUGCGUGUCGGUGACACACCUAACGCAUUAAGCAUCCGCCUGG
rnacentral:rRNA from 1 species